rnacentral:rRNA from 1 species
UACGUAGGGUGCAAGCGUUAAUCGGAAUUACUGGGCGUAAAGCGUGCGCAGGCGGUGAUGUAAGACAGAUGUGAAAUCCCUGGGCUUAACCUGGGAACUGCAGUCGAUACUGGCGGACUAGAGUACGGUAGAGGGUGGCGGAACUCCGGGUGUAGCGGUGAAAUGCGUAGAUAUCCGGAAGAACACCGAUGGCGAAGGCAACCACCUGGGCCUGUACUGACGCUGAGGUACGAAAGCGUGGGGAGCAAACAGG